rnacentral:rRNA from 1 species
GAUGAACGCUGGCGGCGUGCCUAAUACAUGCAAGUCGAGCGAACAGACGAGGAGCUUGCUCCUCUGACGUUAGCGGCGGACGGGUGAGUAACACGUGGAUAACCUACCUAUAAGACUGGGAUAACUUCGGGAAACCGGAGCUAAUACCGGAUAAUAUACUGAACCGCAUGGUUCAAUAGUGAAAGACGGUUUUGCUGUCACUUAUAGAUGGAUCCGCGCCGCAUUAGCUAGUUGGUAAGGUAACGGCUUACCAAGGCGACGAUGCGUAGCCGACCUGAGAGGGUGAUCGGCCACACUGGAACUGAGACACGGUCCAGACUCCUACGGGAGGUAGCAGUAGGGAAUCUUCCGCAAUGGGCGAAAGCCUGACGGAGCAACGCCGCGUGAGUGAUGAAGGUCUUCGGAUCGUAAAACUCUGUUAUUAGGGAAGAACAAAUGUGUAAGUAACUAUGCACGUCUUGACGGUACCUAAUCAGAAAGCCACGGCUAACUACGUG